rnacentral:rRNA from 1 species
UACGGAGGGUGCAAGCGUUGUUCGGAUUUACUGGGCGUAAAGCGCGCGCAGGCGGGUUUACAAGUCAGAUGUGAAAUCUCGGGGCUUAACCCUGAAACUGCGUCUGAAACUGUAGACCUAGAAUAUCAUAGGGGGCAGGGGAAUUUCACGUGUAGGGGUAAAAUCCGUAGAGAUGUGAAGGAACACCGGUGGCGAAGGCGGCUUUCUGGACAGAAACUGACGCUGGUGCGCGAAAGCUAGGGGAGCAAACAGG